rnacentral:piRNA from 1 species
UAAACAUGGCCAGAUGCCUGGAGGGUGCUC